ACAAUAAGCACCAAACGGUGCGUUUUGGGCAUAGUAUAAAAUGAGCCAACUCACGUGAUACACACAUAGCCACCACAACACACGCGCAAUAGAUCUCACGCGACACACACCUUUUCUCCAUUUGCUCUCAUAGAAAUCUCAACGUUUCUCUUGCCGUGUCUCUCUUUGAUCUCCGUUAUCAAACUUUCUCAGGCAGUGGUGCUCGGCGUUGGUCUCUGGCCGUGGGUCUCUCACCGUUGGUCUCUCACCGUGGGUCUGCUCUCUCUCUUCUCUGUCGUCUCUAUUCUCAAACUUUCUCAGGCAGCCGUGGGUCUCUCACCGUUUCAUUAAGUAAUUCGUUUAACUUAAUUUAAAUUAAAAUAAUGGGUUGCAAAUUGAAACUAAAGUGAAAUGGGCUGCUGCCAUUUUCUGCCUUGAGUUGAUAGAAAGGUGCUUACGGUCUACAGCAUAUGCAAAUUGAAACUAAAGUGAAAGCCCAUGCCUUUUUGUUUAUAGAGAUCGACUAGACAAGUUUUUUACAAGAAAUCUCUAGCCAACCUUCCUGCAAACGCUUUUUUCGGUCCUCGAUAGGAAGGGAAAAAUCCCCAAAUUGCCAGAAAAUGCGUCAUUGGAGAGGAUGAAAUGGUUUAGGCUCCUAGGGGCUGCGUUCUUUUUUUUUUUUUCAUUUUCAAUGAAAUUAAAAAAAAUUAUAACUCCUAAUCUAUAGCAUAUACGCAUCCAAUGCAUGCCUGCAGAAAUUCACACAGCAAAGAGGAUGAUAUACCGUGAUAGAGCCGACGGAUUUCACACCGUGAGGAACAGUCCACAAGUAAAACAGAAAAUGCCUUAGGAGAAUUAGUUGUUCAGAUUUCUAGCUUGAAUGAGGAGUGGGUUUGGUGUGAAUGAGAGUGAGAGUGAUGCGUGCGUGAGAUGCGCGUGUAAUGUGUUUGU
rnacentral:lncRNA from 1 species